rnacentral:rRNA from 1 species
AUAUUGGUCAAUGGACGAGAGUCUGAACCAGCCAAGUAGCGUGAGGGAUGACUGCCCUAUGGGUUGUAAACCUCUUUUAUAAGGGAAGAAUAAGUUCUACGUGUAGAAUGAUGCCUGUACCUUAUGAAUAAGCAUCGGCUAACUCCGUGCCAGCAGCCGCGGUAAUACGGAGGAUGCGAGCGUUAUCCGGAUUUAUUGGGUUUAAAGGGUGCGUAGGCGGUUUAUUAAGUUAGUGGUUAAAUAUUUGAGCUAAACUCAAUUGUGCCAUUAAUACUGGUAAACUGGAGUACAGACGAGGUAGGCGGAAUAAGUUAAGUAGCGGUGAAAUGCAUAGAUAUAACUUAGAACUCCGAUAGCGAAGGCAGCUUACCAGACUGUAACUGACGCUGAUGCACGAGAGCGUGGGUAGCGAACAGGAUUAGAUACCCUGGUAGUCCACGCCGUAAACGAUGCUCACUGGUUCUGUGCGAUAUAUUGUACGGGAUUAAGCGAAAGUAUUAAGUGAGCCACCUGGGGAGUACGUCGGCAACGAUGAAACUCAAAGGAAUUGACGGGGGCCCGCACAAGCGGAGGAACAUGUGGUUUAAUUCGAUGAUACGCGAGGAACCUUACCUGGGUUUAAAUGGGAAAUGUCGUAUUUGGAAACAGAUAUUCUCUUCGGAGCGUUUUUCAAGGUGCUGCAUGGUUGUCGUCAGCUCGUGCCGUGAGGUGUCGGGUUAAGUCCCAUAACGAGCGCAACCCUUACCGUUAGUUGCUAGCAUGUAAUGAUGAGCACUCUAACGGGACUGCCACCGUAAGGUGAGAGGAAGGCGGGGAUGACGUCAAAUCAGCACGGCCCUUACACCCAGGGCUACACACGUGUUACAAUGGCCGGUACAGAGGGCCGCUACCAGGUGACUGGAUGCCAAUCUCAAAAGCCGGUCGUAGUUCGGAUUGGAGUCUGUAACCCGACUCCAUGAAGUUGGAUUCGCUAGUAAUCGCGCAUCAGCC